ACGGUGGAUAUUAUGGUUUUGGAUAUCCAUGCCGAUUUUACACUAUCGUCUAUGGAAGAAUCGUCUGUGACUAUCGAUACUAUGGGUGAUAUGGACCGGAAAAAGCUCCUGGAACUUGACAUUGACACCGGACAAAAUUUUACAUUACUUGUUAACUUAAGUUGUUCCUAUAUAUAUUAUCGAAAUAAUUUAAAACUU